GUGUUGCAUCGCGAUCGGCGCACGAGGAAAACACUUGCAGCCAUCGCACGGAGCGUUUCCGCGUAAGACUGAGGCUUGGAACUGAUGACUGAACUAAGAAUUCGUGCUAGAGGAUUGCUGAAUUACAGUUGAGUGACACUGAUGCCACUCAGGGUAAGACCAUGAAUGCAGCUGACAUAAUUGAUGUUGCGAAGUUAGGGAAGAAAGCACGACUCGUGAGGUGCAACAAGACUUUUCUAGCAAUGCGCAUGAUAAAGAAGAUGAGAUAACCGUGGAACAGACACUGCUACCUGUAAUCACGUCAAGCACAGCUGAGUGCAUUGCAGUACUGAACUCUUCGCGAAGAACAUUUGUUCAGCACUCUAUAAGCCGAAAUCGCUUGGCUAGCACUGAAGAAUCGCUACUGCAAUGUUUACUUUCGAAAAACAAUAAACCUUGUUUGCCACUUGA